rnacentral:lncRNA from 1 species
UUUUUUUUUUCCCCAGAGUCAAUGUGUUGAUGUAUCUUGUAUAUUUCAAAUAGUAUGGUAGAAUAUUCAAUGUUCUCAACUGUAGCCACAUAAAUCUUUUCUGGGAACCUCUUAAGAGAUUAGUGUUCUACGGACCUAGCUCAGGGUGAUGCAGAUGUAGACACCACUUGAGUAUAUCAUAUCCCUUCUGAGAAACGCAAACACUUUUGAACAGGGCCAAGAGUGUAGUUUCUUGUCAGAGUUCCUCAUAAUUUCUUCUGUGACCUUCAUUCCUGACCCUGGUGAGGUUGUUUACUGCUUUCAGCCUGGCUUUGUGAGAAUAGAUUUUGUCAGGUUCGGCUUUGAGAAUCAGGGCACUGAAAAUCAUUAUAUAGCUUUUGAAUAAAUAUCCACAAUUAUUCUUUUACCACAGGAAACUGGCACAUAGCAGGAUUUUGUGUAACACCAUGGAGGUAAUUUGGGCUUCUUAUGGAGUGGCCAGGUUUUAAUGGGUAGAAGAGUCCUGGAUUUUUUUAAGAGAAAUGUUAUGCCCUUUUGGGUAGAAUGUCACCCCAAAGCCAAAGUUAUUCACACUAGGAAGCACACUCAUUAUUUUAGAAGUAGUUCCUGAGCUAAUAGACACAGAAUUCUCAUGAAAACCUUUGUUUUUUCUCAACAUGUGUUUCUUAAUUACCUAUGAAAACAAACUCCACAUGUAACUGUCUUAUUCACCACAUUUGAAUGUCUCUGAACAGACACCAACUAAUUUUCUACCAAUUUCCUCCUAUCAUUUUGCUAAAUUAAAAUGUUUUAAAGGUUAAUUGUCAAAUCUUUGGGAGGGAAAGAAAAAAGCUUUCUAAAGGCUAAGUUUCCAAACUAAGUAAUAUGUCCUUAUCCCUGUUAAAAACACUUGUUUAAGGUGGUUUGGAUUGACUUUGUUGGAGGUUGGGUCACUUAGAAACUAAAAGGGAAAUAGCUGUAAAAGGGCAGAGCGAAAUGAGAUUUAUCCUUGGAGCCAGUGAAACUUCUUACCUUACUUUGGGCAUAGAUAUGGGGCAAGGGCUUUGCAAUUAGGAGAUUUUCAGAAGGAGUACCAACUUCAUCACUUCCUACAUGUGUGGCAACUGCUUGUGACUUAUAUUCUGAGCACCAACUUCUCUAAUAAGGCGAUGGUGAUAGCUUCUUAAUGAGACUGUUGUGAAGAUAAUAAAAAUGCAACUUAUUUGUUCCUAUCCCUGGGUGAAGAUUUGAUUCUUGCCAGCAUUCCAACCUUGAAGUAGAACUUGGAUUUUUAUAUUUACUAGAAAUAAAUAACUCAAAAAUAUUAGUGAACAGUGUGUGUUUUCCUAAAUAUUUUGGAGGAAAACAAAAGGUGGGCAUCCAUGUGGCAAAUGGUAUAGCAAUGUAUUCCAAUAUUCCCAGUUAGCUCUGUCCUGUUGAGUGGUUAGAGACUAGCAAUUGUAGUAGCUCACCCACAGAUUCCUUCUUCCUUUUGGCAGUAGAAGCCCCACAUUUUAGCUGAGACCAUUGCUGCCCAGCACAUAUGAC